AAUGAACGCUGGCGGCGUGCAUAACACAUGCAAGUCGAACGAGAAACUCCGGGCUUGCUCGGAGGAGUAAAGUGGCGCACGGGUGAGUAACGCGUGGGUAACCUACCCUUGAAUCUGGAAUAACUCGCCGAAAGGCGGACUAAUACCGGAUAUCGUUCCGGAGACGCAUGUUUUUGGAAUGAAAGGUGACCUCUUCAUGAAAGUUGCCGUUCAGGGACGGGCUCGCGUACCAUUAGCUAGUUGGCAGGGUAAUGGCCUACCAAGGCGAUGAUGGUUAGCUGGUCUGAGAGGAUGAUCAGCCACACUGGAACUGGAACACGGUCCAGACUCCUACGGGUGGCUG
rnacentral:rRNA from 1 species